GUGCUCGCUUUGGCAGCACAUCUACUAAAAUUGGAACGAUACAGAGAAGAUUAGCAUGGCCCCUGUGCAAGGAAAAAGUGAAUUGGUUCAGAGGACACUAUUU